CAUGUGCUGUGUUGACUCAAGGUUUAAUGGAUUUAGGAUUAUGCAAGAUGUGCUUUGUUAAACAAGUGCUUGAAGGCAGUAUGCUUGUUAAAAGUCAUCACCACUCUCUAAUCUCAAGUACCCGGGAACAUAAUAUACUGCGAAGGCUGAAGGCCACAGGGACCUCUGCCUAGGAAAGCCAGGUAUUGUCCAAGGUUUCUCCCCAUGUGAUAGCCUGAGAUAUGGCCUCAUGGGAAGGGAAAGACCUGACCAUCCCCCAGCCCGACACCGGUAAAGGGUCUGUGCUGAGGAGGAUUAGUGAAAGAGGAAGGCCUCUCUGCAGUUGAGAUAAGAGGAAAGCAUCUGUCUCCUGCUUGUCCCCGGGCAAUGGAAUGUCUCGGUGUAAAACCCGAUUGUAUGUUCCACCUACUGAGAUAGGAGAAAACCACCUUAGGGCUGGAGGUGAGACAUGCUGGCAGCAAUACUGCUCUUUAAUGCACUGAGAUGUUUGUGUAUGUGCACAUCAAAGCACAGCACCUUUUUUUAACCUUGUUUAUGACACAGAGACCUUUGUUCAUGUUUUCCUGCUGACCCUCUCCCCACUAUUACCCUAUUGUCCUGCCACAUCCCCCUCUCCAAGAUGGUAGAGGUAAUGAUCGAUAAAUACUGAGGGAACUCAGAGACUGGUGCCAGGGCGGGUCCUCCAUAUGCUGAGCGCCCGUCCCCUGGGCCCACUUUUCUUUCUCUAUACUUUGUCUCUGUGUCUCUUUCUUUUCUCAGUUUCUCAUUCCACCUGAUGAGAAACACCCACAGGUGUGGAGGGGCUGGCCCCCUUCAUAGAAAAUUGUACUUGUUUUUGGUAAUUGGUAACUGGGACAAAGUUUCUUGAAAUAUCUUUAGCUCCCCAAAUAUGCACUGUCAUUGUUGCCGCAGGUGAAAUGCUCAUUGCAGUGCUGCAAAAAGGUGAGGUCACAGGACACAAACCCAUAUCUGAGACCUGGAUGCCUUCCUCCACGCACUCACCCACUGGCUGUCCUGAGCAUCACCCUGCACCUAUUGUCACAGCAACAAGGGAAAAAUCAGCAUAGUGGUCAAGUCCAUUGUCAGCUUCUGACACUGCCUCUUACAAGGAGGUGACUUUGGAAAUGUCAUUCAGCCUUCCUGUGCCUGAGAUCGCCUCACCUGUCAAAUGGGAACAAUAAAGCACUUCAAAGAAUUGUUGUAAAAGUUCUAUGUAAAACACUAUUAUAGUACUCUUAUGCUAGGAAUAUAUAUCUAUACACACAUAUAUUUUUAUAGUGAAACUCUCAGGAAGAGGAAAAUGAAGUUUAAUAGGAAAUUAAUGGCUUGAAAACAAUGGUAAGUGGGAAAGAGUGGCUUUCAGUUGCCAUGGUACGACAGGCCUCUUGUUUCCAUGCCAGAUCCUCUCACUCUGAAUAGGAUGAUCAGUCAUUGAAAAAAGACAAAUGGCCUCCAGGGAUGUGGCAAUAGGAAUAUGAUCUUCUUAUCUCAGACCACAGUAGGAUUCCUGGGCAAUUGCUUUCUUCAUCACCAUUAUAGUUAUUUAUUUCACCAGAUGCACAUUAAGGUCCACAGAUCUGAUUCUGCAGCACCUGACUGUAGCCAACUCCUUGGUCAUUCUCUCUAAAAAAUGCUCCAUAUCCUUGUCAAUGCUUGGUAUUGGAAAUCCUUUUAAUUUAAGUCAUUCUGGUGGUAGUUUUGGUAUCUCAUUAUAAUUUCAAUGUCCAUGAUACAGCUAUUUUUUUUUUUUGAGACAGAGUCUGACUCUGUUGCCCAGGCUGGAGUGCAGUGGUGCCAUCUCACUCACUGCAACCUCUGCCUCCCAGGUUCAAGUGAUUCCUGUGCCUCAGCCUCCUUAGUAGCUUGGAUUAUAGGUGUGCACCACCAAGCCCAGGUAAUUUUUGUAUUUUUAGUAGAGAUGGGGUUUUGUCAUGUUGCCCAGGCUGGUCUCCAACUCCUGGCCUCAAGGGAUCCACCCACCUCGACCUCCCAAAGUGUUGGGAUUACAGGUAUGAGCCACUGCACCCAGUCAUGACAUAGCUAUUAAUAUAGAACUUUUCAUGUGGGCCUAUAGGUCAAUCUAGGAAUUCGCCCUUUCAGAGGCUAUUCAUAUUUAUAUGCAUAUUGGUGCAUGGCAGGGGUUGGUGUAUACACCUUGGUGUAUGGCUGAGCCAUAACUGGAGCAUACCUGAGAAUUACCCUAUUCUAAGUGUGUUUGGAGUCCCAGGCUAAGGAAUCCGGGAGUAGCCAACACUGAGAUUCACUACUUAUCUAUGAAGGACAGCCAUAUCCCUGCCCCAUCCCUUGGAACACAGGCUGUACAGGUGAUCGAGGCCCUUUGUUUUGGGUUAAAUGGAGAUUGCUAGAAGGAGGGUUCUAAGUGAAAAUGCUAUAUGCUAUAUGGACUACAUGCUUUUUUUUUUUUAAUACGAACGGUAGUAUUUCUCCAGGCCAGCCCACCACCACUGGACCACCCCUGUAUAUAACUCCUGAAAAAACCUUGUUUCCUUCACUGGUUCUGCCUCUCUUACAGUGCCAUCCCAAUCGGAAUCAAUGGGGAUCCGGAAGGACAAUUGGCCAUUUAGAUAACAUUUGAAAAUUAACCAAUGUAAUUGGUUACAUUGUAACAUUAUUAUUAAAAUAUUAUUUUAAAAUUAUUAUUAUAUAACAGUAACAUAUUAUUAUUAAAAAUACAUAUGAACAUUUCAAUAAAGGCAGAAAAAGCACUUGAUAUUGAAUGCUUUCCUCUUGAUUUUACAACCAAGACAAGGAAGUCCAUUAUCACUAUUUCUAUUCAAUAGUGGACAUACUAGCCAGCAACAAAACUAAAAGGUAUAAAGAUUACAGGAAAGUUAAACCAUCUCUAUUCACAGAUUGGAAGAUUGUAAUCACAUAAAUUCCAAAAGACUCUGUAGUCUUUUUGUCCCUUACAAAUAAUAAGGGAACUUAGCAACAUGCUUGAAUAUAACAUCAAUAUGUAAAAAUCAAUAGCAUUUCUAUAUUCUUACAACAAACGAGAAUAUAAAAAAAUAAAAUGCUAUUUAACAUCGCAUUUAAAACACUGCUCAAGAAUAAAUCUAAUGAAAUAUAUGUUUGAUCUCUAUACUGCAAUCGAUCCAAGCACAACUUGGAUCCAAACAUUAAGAUAUAAAUAUGUGUACAAUCUACAAAAUAUUACCAGGAAAAAUUAGAGGCCACUUAAAUAAAUGGUGGGAAAUAAUGAUAUUAAUGGAUUGAAGGACAGUAUUGUUAAUAUACUAGUUUUCCCCAAACAGAUCUACAGAUCCAACGCAAGCCCAGUACAAAUCCUAGCAGUUUUGUUUUUUUUUUAAACUGACAAGCUAAUUCCAAAAUUCACCUACAAAUACAAUAGCCUUAGAAUAAGCCAAAGCAAUCUUGGGAGAAUAAAGUCACAGGACUUCAAGACUUAUUAUAAAGCUACAUGAAUUAACACAGUUUGAUAGUGGUAUAAAGUUAGAAAAAGACCACUCCCUCCAGCUCCCCAUUCUGCCCCCAUCCCUGGAAGGCGCUGGCAGCUUUCCCCAUCCGAUCUGCAUGGGUCAAAGGGCGCUGACGGAGGGCCUGACCGACCGGGAUGGGAAACAAAGCGGCCCUGAGAUCACUUUCGGUCUAGGAAGCCCACUAAGAAGAAAGCCUGGGCUGUGGAGUUAUGAGGAAGGGAAUGAAUAGUACACGGGGGCCAGGCGCGUCUCCCCAGGAACCAGAAGGCCUUUAGCUCUAUUAGUUCAGAACGACUUCCAGCGAGUCCCAGCCCUUUUCCAUUCCCAGCGCAACGAUCGCCGGAAUCCAGGCGCCAUCCAGGCCCCUCUGUUCCCUGAAAAGACCACGCAGCCUCCAGUGACAUCACGGAGACGAAAGGGCUUGGCCACCUGUGGCAGCCAUGAUAAAACCUAGGGAAAACGGAGCUCGAAGUAGCUUAUUUU
rnacentral:lncRNA from 1 species